rnacentral:rRNA from 1 species
GGGCUGCAACCCGCCUGCAUGAAGCCGGAAUUGCUAGUAAUCGCGGAUCAGCAUGCCGCGGUGAAUACGUUCCCGGGCCUUGUACACACCGCCCGUCACACCAUGGGAGCCGGUAAUACCCGAAGUCAGUAGUCCAACCUCGUGAGGACGCUGCCGAAGGUAGGAUUGGCGACUGGGGUGAAGUCGUAACAAGGUAGC